rnacentral:rRNA from 1 species
CGGCGGACGGGUGAGUAAUGCCUAGGAAUCUGCCUGGUAGUGGGGGACAACGUUUCGAAAGGAACGCUAAUACCGCAUACGUCCUACGGGAGAAAGCAGGGGACCUUCGGGCCUUGCGCUAUCAGAUGAGCCUAGGUCGGAUUAGCUAGUUGGUGGGGUAAUGGCUCACCAAGGCGACGAUCCGUAACUGGUCUGAGAGGAUGAUCAGUCACACUGGAACUGAUACACGGUCCAGACUCCUACGGGAGGCAGCAGGU